CGGGUGAGUAACGCGUAGGAAUAUGCCUUAAUGACUGGGACAACUUGGGGAAACUCAAGCUAAUACCGGAUGUGCUCUGAGGAGUAAAGCUGGGGACCUUCGGGCCUGGCGCAUUAAGAUUAGCCUGCGUCCGAUUAGCUAGUUGGUGGGGUAAAGGCCUACCAAGGCGACGAUCGGUAGCUGUUCUGAGAGGAAGGACAGCCACACUGGAACUGAGAGACGGUUCAG
rnacentral:rRNA from 1 species